rnacentral:rRNA from 1 species
CAGGAGGAACGCUUAGCGGCAGGUUUAACACCUGCAAAUUCGAGGGGCAGCAUUUCCACCAAUGGAUGAUUGCGACCGGCGGAAGGGUGCGUAACGCGUGAGCAACAUGCCCUAUACAGGGAGAUACACCAGGGAAACUUGGUCUAAUAUCCCAUAGCAUUCAUUGAAGGCAUCUUUAAUGAAUUAAAGCUUCGGUGGUAUAGGAUUGGCUCGCGUGACAUUAGCCAGAUGGUGAGGUAACGGCUCACCAUAGCAAUGAUGUCUAGGGGUUUUGAGAGGAAGGCCCCCCACACUGGGACUGAGACACGGCCCAGACUCCUACGGGAGGCAGCAGUGAGGAAUAUUGGACAAUGGAAGGAAAUCUGAUCCAGCCAUGCCGCGUGCAGGAAGACGGCCUUAUGGGUUGUAAACUGCUUUUAUACGGGAGCAAUAAGGGUUACGAGUAAUCCGAUGAGAGUACUGUAUGAAUAAGGAUCGGCUAACUCCGUGCCAGCAGCCGCGGUAAUACGGAGGAUCCGAGCGUUAUCCGGAAUUAUUGGGUUUAAAGGGUGCGUAGGCGGCCAUUUAAGUCAGCGGUGAAAUUUUGCAGCUUAACUGCAACAGUGCCGUUGAUACUGUUUGGCUAGGAUUUGGUUGUAGUGUGCGGAAUGUGUGGUGUAGCGGUGAAAUGCUUAGAUAUCACACAGAACACCGAUUGCGAAGGCAGCACACUAAGUCAUUAUUGACGCUGAGGCACGAAAGUGUGGGGAUCAAACAGGAUUAGAUACCCUGGUAGUCCACACUGUAAACGAUGAUAACUCGCUGUCGGCGAUACACAGUCGGGGCCAAGCGAAAGC